AGUUUGGAUCCUGGCUCAGAUUGAACGCUGGCGGCAGGCCUAACACAUGCAAGUCGAGCGGGGUUUUCGGACCUAGCGGCGGACGGGUGAGUAAUGCGUAGGAAGCUGCCCGAUAGAGGGGGAUACCAGUUGGAAACGACUGUUAAUACCGCAUAAUGUCUACGGCCAAAGUGUGGGACCUUCGGGCCACAUGCUAUCGGAUGCGCCUACGUGGGAUUAGCUAGUUGGUGAGGUAAUGGCUCACCAAGGCGACGAUCUCUAGCUGGUUUGAGAGGAUGAUCAGCCACACUGGAACUGAGACACGGUCCAGACUCCUACGGGAGGCAGCAGUGGGGAAUAUUGGACAAUGGGCGCAAGCCUGAUCCAGCCAUGCCGCGUGUGUGAAGAAGGCCUUCGGGUUGUAAAGCACUUUCAGCGAGGAGGAAGGGGUAGUAGUUAAUAGCUGCUACUUUUGACGUUACUCGCAGAAGAAGCACCGGCUAACUCUGUG
rnacentral:rRNA from 1 species